rnacentral:rRNA from 1 species
UACGUAGGGACCAAGCGUUGUUCGGAUUUACUGGGCGUAAAGCGCACGUAGGCGGCUUAGCAAGUUGGAUGUGAAAGCCCUCGGCUUAACCAAGGAAGUGCAUCCAAAACUGCUGAGCUUGAGUAGUUAAGAGGAUCGCGGAAUUCCCGGUGUAGAGGUGAAAUUCGUAGAUAUCGGGAGGAACACCAGUGGCGAAGGCGGCGAUCUGGGAACAUACUGACGCUGAGGUGCGAAAGCGUGGGGAGCAAACAGG